CGGGUGAGUAACACGUGGGCAAUCUGCCCUGCACUCUGGGACAAGCCCUGGAAACGGGGUCUAAUACCGGAUGACACUUUCUCUCGCAUGGGAGAAGGUUGAAAGCUCCGGCGGUGCAGGAUGAGCCCGCGGCCUAUCAGCUAGUUGGUGAGGUAGAAGCUCACCAAGGCGACGACGGGUAGCCGGCCUGAGAGGGCGACCGGCCACACUGGGACUGAGACACGGCCCAGACUCCUACGGGAGGCAGCAGUGGGGAAUAUUGCACAAUGGGCGAAAGCCUGAUGCAGCGACGCCGCGUGAGGGAUGACGGCCUUCGGGUUGUAAACCUCUUUCAGCAGGGAAGAAGCGCAAGUGACGGUACCUGCAGAAGAAGCGCCGGCUAACUACGUGCCAGCAGCCGCGGUAAUACGUAGGGCGCAAGCGUUGUCCGGAAUUAUUGGGCGUAAAGAGCUCGUAGGCGGCUUGUCACGUCGGUUGUGAAAGCCCGGGGCUUAACCCCGGGUCUGCAGUCGAUACGGGCAGGCUAGAGUGUGGUAGGGGAGAUCGGAAUUCCUGGUGUAGCGGUGAAAUGCGCAGAUAUCAGGAGGAACACCGGUGGCG
rnacentral:rRNA from 1 species